rnacentral:rRNA from 1 species
UUUCGUAGGGGUUAUCCUUGGAGGGAUCAUUACCGAGUUUACAACUCCCAAACCCCUGUGAACAUACCACUUGUUGCCUCGGCGGAUCAGCCCGCUCCCGGUAAAACGGGACGGCCCGCCAGAGGACCCCUAAACUCUGUUUCUAUAUGUAACUUCUGAGUAAAACCAUAAAUAAAUCAAAACUUUCAACAACGGAUCUCUUGGUUCUGGCAUCGAUGAAGAACGCAGCAAAAUGCGAUAAGUAAUGUGAAUUGCAGAAUUCAGUGAAUCAUCGAAUCUUUGAACGCACAUUGCGCCCGCCAGUAUUCUGGCGGGCAUGCCUGUUCGAGCGUCAUUUCAACCCUCAAGCACAGCUUGGUGUUGGGACUCGCGUUAAUUCGCGUUCCUCAAAUUGAUUGGCGGUCACGUCGAGCUUCCAUAGCGUAGUAGUAAAACCCUCGUUACUGGUAAUCGUCGCGGCCACGCCGUUAAACCCCAACUUCUGAAUGUGACCUCGGAUCAGGUAGAAUCCCAAGUCC